ensembl:lncRNA
CCUGUGUGACAGCAGGCAGGUGAGAGUGCUUUCAAGUGUCAUGCCUCCUCCUGAGCCUGAAGACACUAGCCCUGGACUCCCAUAGGUCAUGCCAUCCCAGGGGAGGCUGGUCCCACAGGCUGCCCCCAGCUUUGAGGCUUGGGCAGCCCUGGGUCCAGCAGAUGUCUUAUUUAUGCUCGGUACAUUCCUGGGCACAUGUGUCCCCAGGAGGCAGGACAGCAGAGUCUUUAGUGCUCUCCCCCUCCCAUGUGCCCCUCCCUUGACGGGGCUUGAGAGCAUUUGAGUCUUGCAUGGUAGUAGAGGGGGUCUGGUGAUUCAGACUGUGUGUGGGGAACUUCAAGUCCCUUCUCCAGUGGUUCCAUCACCAGCAUCAGUGCCCCUAUCAUAGCGCCAUGCCUGUGUCCCUGAUGUGAUGAUCAUCAUCUCAUCUUGGUGACCUUCACCCCAUGCUGCCAUCUCCCCACUGUCACCAUGGCAUCCAUAGCCUACAAUUGCCACCACCUCGCCAUCAUUCCAGCCAACGGUGUUACCUUCUUGGCUUAUAGUAGUCUUCAAAAUCACCAGCCAAGACAUGGCUACCCUACUUGGUGACCUGAGCCAGACUAUGACUGUCACCACCUUCAGACACAUCGCCACAUCCAUCAUCACCGUCCCUAGGAUUUGUAUAACGGCAGGUUAGAGCUAAUGGUGGUGGGCAGAUUCACCAGGAUCAGGGAGCACAGGCACUGAGCAGGAAAUGGAUGCAGCAUGGUGGACAAUCCAGGUGGGGGGCUGGUGCUCCAGGAGCCCAUAUGGAGGGACCAGUCCCUCUCAGGCCUGGGCAGUUUUCAGGCUCAGAGGUCUGAGGACCGGGGUAUGAAGGGGCCGGUGUUCACAAAACAGGAUGAGUCUGACAGUGAGGUAGGUGUUCAGGGCAGGGGUGAGACAAGGAGGGGCCCUAGCCCCAGUCACCAGGCAAAGAACUCAGGGAGGGGCCUGGCAGGGCCUUCCGGGUUGGACUUGGUAGGGGUAGUGGGCUGGGGCUGCCAGAUAAAACGUAGAUGACCCAAUUCAAUCUGAAUUUUAAAUAAGCAACAAAUAACUUUUCAGGGGAUAUACUGGUGCUAAAACACCCAAUGUAUUAAGUUUAACUGGCCAUUUUGUAUGUACCUUGGCCAUGCCAGCUAGAAGGUUUGCUAUCAGUCACUGGGGAGAGAGGGUGGCCUGGACCUGAAAGUGGGGGCCCGAGACAGUCCUCCUGCCUCUUAGGUGACUUCCAAGGAGGCCCUGAAAGGCCCACCACCACAGCCUGACCAGGGAGGGCUGAAACCUGAGUGGACUGGGUGGGGGACAUGCUCGGACUCUGGUCCCUGUGGGGUCUACUGGUGAUUGCAGCCCCUGGACAGGUGUCUGAGUAGCCAGGGAGUCUGUGACCAGAGCACCAGGAAGAGCAGGUUGAAGACCCCAACCCCAAGACUACCUACCCUGUACCUCCCCGGAGCCCUGUGACUGCAGCCAUGUGAGCUUGAGCAUGGUAUGUAUUGUCCCAGAUCCACUCUGGACAGUUCCCAGUGUUUCAGGGAGCAGGACACUAGUGACUGAACCUUGGCCGUGUCUGCCAGGAAACUGAGCAGAUGCACAGGCGGCCAGGCCGGGACCCAAGAGGGGCUGUGGGGAGAGCUGAGGCUGGCAUUGACUGGCUUGGGUAUCUGGGGGUCUGGCCUACUGUGGUCCCUAGGGUGUUUAGAAUCCCCUUACCACGGAGUCCUUAGAGUAUCUUAGAGUUUCCAGUCUCAUUUUCAUUAACAAAUUAGUGUAAGUUCAUUAAAAACCCUAAAGCACGUGGAUAGGUAAAAUAAGCAGGCAAAAGAUAUCCACAUUCCAGGGCCCCAGGGCCCCGGGACCCCAGGACCCUAUAGUCAGGGGCAGUGGCAUCUCACGUCCUGGGGUAUGAUAACCGGGAAUGUGGAACCUCUCACUAGCCCCUGUCCCUCUGGAAUUGCCAUCCAGCCAAGCACAUCUCACACGUGAGCUCAUGUGUGGGUGCAUCAUCUUUUUAACAGAGCGUGAGUGUCUUACUUCAUGGAUAUUUCAUAGCGAAGCUAAGGCUCGGAAAAUUCCAUGACCCUGAAUUUCUGACAUCAUGAAAAUUGUGCUCCUGAGGAAUCCACCAGCCUGUGCACCUACAGUGGGAAAAGUCUGCUGCUGAAUUUGCUGUAGUGAGUCCUUCCUGGGAGAGCAGAGGGAAGAACCCAGGAGGUCUUAAUGCUAUCUUUAUUAUCUUCUUUCUUAAAGAAAAUAAGAUUGAAGGCCAGCAUGGAAAAAUAUUAAAGUUUAAUAGUGCCAAGUAGAGAUUUGAUAAUGGCAGCAUUUAAUAAGGACACCGUGGGGCAUAUGUGGGUGUGGAAUGACUUUUCUAGUCCUGUUUAAAAUAUUUUAUAGGACAUUUUAAAUUGCUGUGGUCCUGUUUUCCCUGCUGAUGUGACCACACCCACACAUGUCUUGGCUGAAUUGGGAGGGACCAUUCUGUUUUCCAGAAACCAGAUGGAUGGUACCGUUUGUCUAUGUCAGCCUGUCUCAUGGCUGGGCAGGUAGACCUGUCCUUGCCAGCAGCUGUGAAUCCAUGGGGACGGGAAUCUGGUUCCACUGGGCUCGGGUUAUGUGCCAUGCCAUGUGAUAUGUACAUGUUGGAAACCCUUCCACUCUCGUGCUUGCUGGAACAGAACUGCUGAAGCAAACAGAGAAAGAACUGGAAUGUCAGGUGGCCAUCGAUUUCUAAGCCUGUGGCAAUGUCUUGGCUGGGGACCUCAGCAGGUCUGCAUCCAGAUAGGAGGCCCCUCUUGACUCCUCUGGACAUGUAACUUGGGGAGGCACUGGACAAGGCUCUGGCUGGAAACUUCCAUGGUGUAGCCCUGUGUUCAAGGUGACCCUCAACUGGAUGUGCAGAUUCCUGAA